CUGUAUACACCGUACAUAUAUAUAUAUAUACACAACCCCUCAGGUGUCAUAAUACGAGGUCCUGUAUACACCGUACAUAUAUAUAUAUAUAUAUACACAACCCCUCAGGUGUUAUAAUACGAGGUCCCGUAUACACCGUACAUAUAUAUAUAUAUAUAUACACAACCCCUCAGGUGUCAUAAUACGAGGUCCCGUAUACACCGUACAUAUA